rnacentral:rRNA from 1 species
UACGUAGGGAGCAAGCGUUGUCCGGAAUCAUUGGGCGUAAAGCGCGCGUAGGUGGCUUCGUAAGUCCGUUGUGAAAGUCAAAGGCUCAACCUUUGAAAGCCGAUGGAUGCUGUGAAGCUAGAGUACGGAAGAGGCGAGUGGAAUUCCUGGUGUAGCGGUGGAAUGCGCAGAUAUCAGGAGGAACACCAAUAGCGAAGGCAGCUCGCUGGGACGUUACUGACACUGAGGCGCGAAAGCGUGGGGAGCGAACAGG